rnacentral:rRNA from 1 species
AUUGAACGCUGGCGGCAUGCCUUACACAUGCAAGUCGAACGGUAACAGGUCUUCGGAUGCUGACGAGUGGCGAACGGGUGAGUAAUACAUCGGAACGUGCCCGAUCGUGGGGGAUAACGAAGCGAAAGCUUUGCUAAUACCGCAUAAGAUCUACGGAUGAAAGCAGGGGACCGCAAGGCCUUGCGCGAACGGAGCGGCCGAUGGCAGAUUAGGUAGUUGGUGGGAUAAAAGCUUACCAAGCCGACGAUCUGUAGCUGGUCUGAGAGGACGACCAGCCACACUGGAACUGAGACACGGCCCAGACUCCUACGGGAGACAGCAGUGGGGAAUUUUGGACAAUGGGCGAAAGCCUGAUCCAGCCAUGCCGCGUGCAGGAUGAAGGCCUUCGGGUUGUAAACUGCUUUUGUACGGAACGAAAAGACUCUUUCUAAUAAAGAGGGUCCAUGACGGUACCGUAAGAAUAAGCACCGGCUAACUACGUGCCAGCCGCCGCCGUAACAC